AAGGAUGCGUGAGCACAAAGAAAAGACCCUCAGAGGACACAGUGAGAAAAUGGUUAUCUGCAAGCCAAGGAGAGACCAAACCUGCCGGCACCUUAAUCUUGGACUCUCAGCCUCCAGAACUGUGAGGAAUAAACUUUUGUUGUUUCACUAUCACACACUAUCCAGUGUAUGGGAUUUUGUUAUGGCAACCUUAGAAAGCUAAUAGAGACAGUAUUCCAGGUAGAUGGUACAGCAAGUGUCAGCAGCCUGGGGACAUGGAGGGAGGCCAGUGCACCUGGAGCACUGUUGGGAAGAGGGGCCUUGAUAAGGUACCUUUUCAGAAAUUUUUUUUGUGGAGACAGGAUCUUCCUAGGUUGCCCAGGCUUGAUUCAAACUCCUGAGCUCAAGGGAUCCUCCCACCUUGGCCUCCCAAGUAGCCGGGACUACAGCCACACACCACUGUGCCUGGCUAAAGUAUCUGGUUUUCAUUUAAGUGAGUUGGUGACCAUUUGGAGAGGUUUUAUUUUUUAAAUUCAUUUGUGACUUAUUAAGAUGACUUUUUUCGUGAUCUUUCUAAUAUUUUCAUUAAAAACUUUUAAUUGGUAUUAAUAUAUAAUUGUACAUAUUUAUGGGGUACACGUGAUAUUUCAAUACAUGCAGACAACCUGUAAUGAUUAAAUCAGGGUAAUUGACAUAUCCAUCAUCUCAAACAGUUAUUAUUUCUUUGUACUGGGAAUUUUCAAAAUCCUCUCUUCUAGCUGCUUCAAAAUAAAUAAUAAAUUAUUGUUAAUUAUAGUCACCCUGCUGUGCCAUAGAACAUCAGAACUUAUUUCUUCUAUUUAACCGUUUGUACCCAUUAAUCAGCCAUUCCCUACCCCUCCUUGCCCACUUCUCUUCCCAGCCUCUGGUAACCACUAUUCUACUCUCCACCUCUAUGGAAUCAACUUUAUUAGCUCCCACUUAUGAGUAAGAACACGGAAUUUAUCCUUCUGUGCCUGGCUUAUUUCACUUAGCAUGAUGUCCUUCAUUUGGAGAGUUUUAAGCAGGGAGUAACAGUAUAGAGCUCAACAAUAAUCAUUUCUUCUUCUACCAAGAAGAUCCAACCAAGAUUCUACCAAGAAGAUCGUGGGGGAUCCAACGAGAUGGAGGGAAAAGCAAAGAGAAGAUGCGAUGAAGCCACAGAGCAGGAAGAGGCCUCGGUUGCUGUCCUGACCAGUCCUCUCACUUCACCAUCAAGGCCAUGAAACCCAGAGAAGGGAUGUGACUUGAGAUCCAGCCAGACCCAGAUCCAGAGUUGGGAGGGCAGGGGUGCUGCAAUAUGAUCACAGAAUCGACACUCGACCCCUCCCAGCGACCUGGCAAAGUGGGCACUAACUCCAUUCUGCAGAGGUGGAAACUGAGGCCAGUGUGGGGAAUGGAAAUUGACUGGGCUAAGCUUAGAAGCCUGAACUCUGACCCCAAAGCUCUCUCUUGUACCUUUGACCCCCUUGUCUUGUCCUGCAGCUCUUAAGGUUACAGUGAGCCAGUUUUUCAUUUUGCCUUUCUCCAAUGGAGGCACCUUGGAAAAUAGAGAUCUGGCUGGAGCAACCUGGAACAUUUGAUGAUUGGGCUUAUUUAUAUUUAUAAUUAUCUAUAGAGUGAUAAGCACUUAUAUGCGGAAGGAGAGAGUUCCUGUCCUGCUCACUGAUGUAUCAUCAACUUGCUAAUGAAUGAAUGAAUGAACAAAUGCUAAUCCUCACAGAUCCCCUCUCUACAGAGGAAGAGGCUGAGGCUCAGGGAGGUGCAGUGACUUGCUUCAGAGACACAGGAAUCAUGCCAGGAAUCGUCGGGCCUCCCUUUUUUCUCAGAGAAGAAAGAUUGUUUCUGUUUCCUCCUCCGUCAUGCUGGGCUUGUCAACCAGCCAGUCACCGGCCCUCCCUGAGGAAGCGCAGCACAGUCACCAGCCAGGAGAACAGAUUCACCUGCCCCAGGACGUCAGCGCUGCCCACACACGGUGCCACCCACGCACUGUGACACACACUCACACUUGGGCCCCAGACUCCCCAGGUCCAACCAAGGAGAGGGAAUGGCAGAGGAGCGCACAGGGGUGGGGCAGGCACUGAACCCCGCUGGGGAAUGGAGGGGGAAAGGGUGGGACAGGCCCCACCCAGCCCCAACUGUCAGAAGACGAAAGAAAGGGUGCAGGUGGGCUCCGGGUUGGAGAAGAAGAAGGUGAGCCAGCAGAGCCGAGUCACGGCAGCCUGCCAAGCCGACUGCUGAGGCAGAGUUAGCACUGGCUGGAUGAGACACUUCACACUUCACAGCUCCUGAAAAGUGUGGAGGAAAUGCCCACACCCUACAUAGACCAGAGGGCCACUAUCUGCUUGAAACAAAUGGCCCCUUCCUGGACAUCCUUUGUUCCCCUUUAUGGACAAAAUGCUACUACCUUCACUUACACCCUCCCUAGAGAUCUCCCAAAGAAGGAGGAUGAGGGAAGCUGCCUUUGGUUGAGUCUAUGCUAUGUGCCUGACUCUGUGCCAAGCUCUGGACCUCCACCAAGUCAGGUGACAUGAUGAUAUGGGCACUACUAACCCUGGUUUCCCAGUGGGCAAACUGAGGCACGGCACAGAGUGGAUCAGUAACUUGCCCUGAGUCACACAGGCUGGUAAACGGGAGCCAGGAUGGGACUGAAAUGCAGGUCUAGCUCAGCCCAAAGCACAUCACAUCAAGGGUCUCACAGAGCAGGGGUCCCAGGAAAGGUUACUGUGUCAAGCAGAAAAGGGCCAGGCAAGCAAGUCCCCAGCAAGAGCCAAGACUGCACUGUACCUUGCAAGGGGCAUUAGACACUUCCAGAUUUAUCUGGAUUCAAUGACAGAGUGAGAACUCAUGAAGGAAGGAUAAGGUGGGGCUCAGGAAAAGAGGGUCCAAAGAACCGAGGUCUCAUGUGCAUUGAAAAUGUUAGAAAGUUGCCUCGCAGGGGCUGGUGACAAAGUGGGUUUUGACAUAGCUGUGGGGAGCAUCUGAGCACUUCAUAUAAAAUGGAAACACUACCCACACACUCAUUUGCUCAUGUGUGCACACACUUAUAGGUGUGCACUCACACACACACAUGCAUAUGUAUCCUCCCAAUGGGUGGGCAUGUGUGUGGCAUGCAGAGGUUGGUGCUGGAGGAAGAGGGGAACACACACCUACCGUCCAUAUACCUGGUUACUAAUGAGCACCUACUGUAUACAUGGUGCUUUGCCAGACACUGAUUGUCCAAAGGGGAGUCACUGUGAUUCCCAGCUCCGAGGUGGACUAUAUGUAUAGGCACGAAGAGUUAGCUCUUCAGACUUCUCAUCACUCUCCAAAGGCCUUGGAUUGGUAGGUUGCUUUGUAGCUUCCAAAGCACUUCUAUAUAUGUUCAGUCUAAGUGAAAGGAAGAGCCCAGCACGGUGAGUGUGGGAGGAAAUGUGAAGAGUGCCCUGAGCAUCACCACCACGGAUGAGUCUUGCCUGAAUCAAUUACUGGGAUGAGUGUCAAAUGGUUUUCCAAUUCCAUCAUUCCUUCUAUGUCUAUUUAGUUGGCAUCCUACUGCAAGGGAGAGCUCUCCCUUCUCCCCCAUGUAGCGAUCUACUUGUUUAUAUUUGUAUAAACCCAGAUUCUUAUUUUAUUCCAUGUGUAAUCAUCCAUGAUCAUCAUUUUUGGUUUUGAUGUUGAAAUUGUCCCAGAUUGGCCCAUAUUUGGCCAGUGGGAGCUCCUUCAAGCUGGCUCCAUUUCCUUUCACAUGCACGUGCCUAUUAUACCUUGAGCAUGUCCUUACUUCUGACCUGAAAAGAUGCUCCGGACUCAUCUGGCACUUCCCCCCGGCCCAGCCGAAGAAUCAGCUCCGGGUUGAGUAGCCUUUAUCUGAAAUGCCUGGGACCAGAAGUGUUUUGGAUUUGGGAUUUUUUUUUCCAGAUUUUGGAAUAUUAUUUGCACAUACAUAAUUAGAUGUCUUGACAAUGGGAUCCAAGUCUAAACAUGAAAAUUUUUCAGAUU
rnacentral:lncRNA from 1 species